rnacentral:misc_RNA from 1 species
AACGCACAUUGCGCCCUCUGGUAUUCCGGGGGGCAUGCCUGUUCGAGCGUCAUUACACCACUCAAGCCUAGCUUGGUAUUGGAUGCUUGUGGAUCUUUUAGCAAUAAAGGGCCUGCACAUCUCGAAUUCUUCCGGCUGGUAUUUAUCAAACCCUUGCGUUGUGGAAACAUUUUUCGCUCUGGUUGUUUGACGAAUAGUCUUUCGCCGUUAAAUCUAUUUUUCUAAGGUUGACCUCGGAUCAGGUAGGGAUACCCGCUGAACUUAA